rnacentral:rRNA from 1 species
UGGGGAAUUUUGGACAAUGGGCGAAAGCCUGAUCCAGCAAUGCCGCGUGUGUGAAGAAGGCCUUCGGGUUGUAAAGCACUUUUGUCCGGAAAGAAAUCCUUGGCUCUAAUACAGUCGGGGGAUGACGGUACCGGAAGAAUAAGCACCGGCUAACUACGUGCCAGCAGCCGCGGUAAUACGUAGGGUGCAAGCGUUAAUCGGAAUUACUGGGCGUAAAGCGUGCGCAGGCGGUUUGCUAAGACCGAUGUGAAAUCCCCGGGCUCAACCUGGGAACUGCAUUGGUGACUGGCAGGCUAGAGUAUGGCAGAGGGGGGUAGAAUUCCACGUGUAGCAGUGAAAUGCGUAGAGAUGUGGAGGAAUACCGAUGGCGAAGGCAGCCCCCUGGGCCAAUACUGACGCUCAUGCACGAAAGCGUGGGGAGCAAACAGGAUUAGAUACCCUGGUAGUCCACGCCCUAAACGAUGUCAACUAGUUGUUGGGGAUUCAUUUCCUUAGUAAUGUAGCUAACGCGUGAAGUUGACCGCCUGGGGAGUACGGUCGCAAGAUUAAAACUUAAAGGAAUUGACGGGGGUCAUAGCUG